rnacentral:rRNA from 1 species
UACGGAGGAUGCAAGCGUUAUCCGGAAUGAUUGGGCGUAAAGCGUCCGCAGGUGGCAAUGUAAGUCUGCUGUCAAAGCGUCUGGCUCAACCAGAUAAAGGCAGUGGAAACUACAUAGCUAGAGUAAGGUAGGGGUAGAGGGAAUUCCUGGUGUAGCGGUGAAAUGCGUAGAUAUCUGGAAGAACACCAAUGGCGAAAGCAGUCUGCUGGGCUUACUCUGACACUGAGACACGAAAGCGUGGGGAGCGAACGGG